rnacentral:lncRNA from 1 species
GGUGUAGCCCAGAAGAGAGUGAUGGCGGCGCCGCCCAAUGGACGCGUGGGUGGAAGGGCCCGAGCCUCCUCAUCCACCCCCUCCUUCCGCCCCCCACUUGUGCAUGCCUCUGCCCCCCCGGGCCGCGGAACUCUCCUGGGGCGACCCCGAGUCCCACCCCGCUGCUCCGUGCCGUCCUCGCAGCUCGAGCCCUCCUCCAGCCCAGCAGUGCUCCCGCAGCGUCUGGCCGCUGGUCGUCGGCAGACGAAAGGGCUUGAACCGCGGCUGACCUUAGCCUUUGUCCCUCGGCCUAGUUCCGCAGCUGCCGUCGAGGCCGCCAGCCCCUCCCCCAGCAUGUUUGGGCUAAGCCGCCUCCUUUCCGCCUGCGUUGGAGAGAGAGGUACCAGAAGGAAUGAAAGGACUGGGGCUUGUCUCCAUGGCAACUGAAAGAAAGAGAGAAAAAUUGGUCACCUCCAGGACUGAGACCCUGACCCUUCCAAGCAUCCCCACUACCAAAGGCUGCCCAAGCCCGGAAGGAUCCCAUCCCGUUCUGUACUCUGAGGUCACUUCCUCACUCCGUCAAAUUUCACUGGACUGUGGGCUAAUUAAAAGUGCCUCCGUAUUAGCGGGGCGUGGUGGCCCAUGCCUAUAAUCCCAGCUACUUGGGAAGCUGAGGCAGGAAAAUUGCUUGAACCCGGGUGGCGGAGGCUGCAGUGACCCAACAUUGUGCAACAAGAGCGAAACUCCGUCUCAAAAAAAAUAAAAAAUAAAAAAGAGUGCCUCCCUGGGGAGACUGUAAUGCCCACUGGGCAGUGAUCCUAAUGCCCCUUGGGCAGUGAUCCUUAUUCCCCUCUCCCAUAAUGAUUGGUUGUAGCAGGCUGAACAAAAAGGUUGAGCUUCGCUUGUGCUUGCUGAAUAGAAUUCUCACGCCCACUCCACGUUAGCUCCCCUCACUGUAGGACUAGCUCUGAAAAUUCUAGCUCCUGUAGGAAGCCAACACAGACGGAUCUACAAGAACCAAAAACAGCUAUAGCUACUCUUCUAAAUCUCAGUGCCUGACAUUGCCUCUCUUUCUGCCUCCUCUCUCCACCCCCCAAAAAAUGUGGUCCUCCUUGACCUGAGGGAGCUUCCGUCCAAGUCUGAGCUCUGAUCAUCCUGAAGAAUCAAAGUAUCAUCAUCCCUUGGCUGGCAAGAUGAACUCCAACAUCAAAACACUUGAAACAGUAGUAUUUUUACACAAUUUGCCCACUGCCUCUACAUCUCACUUAGUCCUUGCAGUAACAUUUGGAUGAUGAGGUAACUUAUCCAGAAGCACAAAGCCUAAAGAAUGACAGAGCUUGGACUCCUGAGAAGUUCAGCUACUGCCCGCCUUAUGAUAACCAAAAGAAAGCGGCCGGGCGCAGUGGCUCAACUCCUGUAAUCCCAGCACUUUGGGAGGCCGAGGCGUGCGAAUCACAAGGUCAGGAGUCCGAGACCAGCCUGGCCAACACAGGGAAACCCCGUCUCUACUAAAAAAAACAAACACAAAAAUUAGUUGGGCGUGGUGGUGGGCACCUGUAAUCCCAGCUACUUGGGAGGCUGAGGCAGGAGAGUCACUUGAAUCCGGUAGGCGGAGGUUGCAGUGAGCCGAGAUCGUGCCACUGCACUCCAGCCUGGGAGACAGUGAGACUCCGUCUCUAAAAAAAAAUGAAUAAAUAAAUAAGAAGGCACACCACAAGUUCGAGACCACUUCUACAAAAAAUAAAAAAUAAAAAAAAUUAGGCCAGGCACAGUGGCUCAUGCCUGUAAUCCAAGCACUUUGGGAGGCUGAGGCGGGCGGAUCACUGGAGGUCAGGAGUUUCAGACCAGCCUGGCCCAACAUGGUGAAACCCUGUCUCUACUAAAAAUACAAAACUUAGCUGGGCGUAGUGGUGCGUGCCUGUAAUCCCACUUACUCCAGAAGCUGAGGCAGAAGAACUGCUUGAACCUGGGAUGCAGAGGUUGCAGUGAGCUGAGAUUGCACCACUGCACUCCAGCCUGGGCAACAGAGUGGGACUCUGCCUCAAAAAAAAAAAAAAAAAGAAAAUGAAGAUGACCAAAUGGGCUUCUAGAUGGCUAAUGAUAUUCUGUUUCUUUGAUCUGGGUGGGGGUUACAUGGGUGUGUUCCCUUUGUAAUAUGUUAUCAAGACAUUUUGUGCACUUUUUUGGGUAUUAUACUGAAAGAAAACAUUUAUUUUUUAAAAAGUUGAAAAAUUGCCUUGGAGCAGAGUAAGGUAAAUCUAUGAUUAAGCUUAGAUUUUUUUAUUUUUUAUUUUUUAUUUUUUUUCAAAAAAAAUGAGGCCAGGCGCGGUGGCUCACGCCUGUAAUCCCAGCACGUUGGGAGGCCGAGGUGGGCAGAUCACGAGGUCAGGAGGUCGAGACCAUCCUGGCUAACACGGUGAAAUCCCAUCUCUACUAAAAAUACAAAAAAUUAGCCAGGCAUGGUGGCAGGCACCUGUAGUCCCAGCUACUCGGGAGGCUGAGGCAGGAGAAUGGCAUGAACCUGGGAGGCAGAGCUUGCAGUGAGCCAAGGUCACGCCACUGCACUCCAGCCUGGGUGACAGAGCAAGACUCGUCUCAAAAAAAAAAAAAAAAGUAAAAUGAACCUAACAAGAGGCAUCCUUUCUCUGUGGUUAUUAUAGUGAGAACUAAGUUCUUUAUCACUCUCCGGUUAUUUACCCCUAGAGAGAAGCCAACUUUCUGGUUGUAUACACCAGAAUAAGUACAAGAAUGGUAAGCAUAGAGCUUCAGAGAAACUAGCCAGAUUCUAAAGGAAUGACUUGAAAAUCGAGAGCCGUUUCAAUGACAAAACAUCAUACAAAAUAUUCAUCUACCACAUUAGAGGCCUAUCGCUAGGUAAAAACACCAAAACUUCAGCUUAAACAGUAGUAUGUAUGUAUGUAUUAUCCCAGUUUCUGUGAGUCAGGAAUUCAGGAUUGAUAAGCUGGGUGGUUCUUGUUCAGAAUCUUUCAAGAGGUUGCAGUCCUCUGAAAGUGUAGUGGGUUGGGGUAUCCACUUCCAAGGUGGCUUGCUCAUAUGGCUGGCAAGUUGGUGCUGGCUGUUGGCAGGAGGCCUCAGCUCACAAUGCAGGCUUUCAUAGGACUACGUGAGUGUCCUUUCAACAUGGCAGCAGGCCUUCCCUAGAGCUAGUGAAGGAUGAGAAAACGACAAAUCGCAAUGUCUUUUAUGACCUAGGCUGGGAAGUUAUACUCCAUCAUUUAUGCAAUAUCCUGUUAUCACACAGGUCAUCCCUAUUCAGUGUAGGUUGGUACUACACAAGGACAUGAAUAUCAGGAGGAAGAGAAUCUCUGGAGGCCAUCUUGGAGCCCAUAGUCCGCCUUCUGCCCCCUAAUGAUUCACGUCUUCGUCUGUUCCUGCUCUCUAAGAGCCAGGAGGCAGACUUCCCUUGAGCUUUCUUGCAGCUAAAGUAGAGCAUCAUUAGCAGUAAAAAUUAAGAUAUCAUCACAAAGGCCAGGCACAGUGGCUCACGCCUGUAAUCCCAACACUUUGGGAGGCCAAGGUGGGCGGAUCACCUGAGGUCAGGAGUUCGAGACAUGCCUGGCCAACAUGGUGAAACCCUGUCUUCACUAAAAAUACAAAAAUUAACCUGGUGUGUUGGCGGGCACCUCUAAUCCCAGCUACUUAGGAGGCUGAGCCAGGAGAAUCACUUGAAACCAGAGGCGGACGUUGUAGUGAGCCAAGAUGGCACCACUGAACUUGAGCCUGGGUGACAGAGCAAGACUCCAUCUCAAAAAAAAAAAAAAAAAAGACAUCACAAGAUUGCCAGGCACAGAGGCUUAAACACCAAGUUCUUUCUCAUGUCAUCGUGUUUCGUCGGUGCCGAGGACAUGAGGGGUGUAGAUCAGGCCUGUUUCAAACACAAGGCCUUUUGGCCAGAGUGUAAUGGUGUGAGGACUUGGGAAGACCUUACCUACUUAACUGUCUCUCUCAAAGGACAAAGGUAUGAGGGGGUUAAAAAAAAAAAAAAAAAGGCAAAGCUAUGAAGAACAUGAAGUUCUUAAGCCCCUAGACACUCUUCCAAGGUCUGGCCUGUAUCCCAGAGUCCACUGCUGAAAAGGGGCAGAGAUGUGUGUUAUAUGCGCACAUACGUACGCAUAGUAUAGCUAGCAUAUGGCAUUCUGGUGGCCUCGACGGAGCUCACAGGCAAUAUAACAGCAUUGACUGCUUUCACAGUUUCCACUUGUCUCAGGAAAAUAGAGAAAAUUCAAGAUGAAAUACAGUGAGUUUAGGACAACUCAGUUUCCUAAAUAUGGAAGAUCCUGUCCCUUCCCAAGUAUUGAAAGAGAUGAAAAUUUUCCCUUAGUUUUCAAGCUCAAAGUCUAUCUUAUCUUUGACUAAAUAGCCCUGAUUUGGAUACUGUUAACUUGCUCUUAACUACUAAUAGUCUAGUGCUUUUACUUUAUUUUAUUUUAUUUAUUUUCUUUGAGACGGAGUCUCUGUUGCCCAGGCUGGAGUGCAAUGGCACUAUCUCGGCUCACUGCAACCUCCACCUCCUGGGUUCAAGCGAUUCUCCUUACUGAGCCUCCCGAGUAGCUGGGAGUACAGGCGCACACCACCAUGCCUGGCUAAUUUUUGUACUUUUAGUAGAGAUGGAGUUUUGCUACGUUGGCCAGGGUGGUCUCGAACUCCAACUCAGGUGAUCCACCCACCUUGGCCUCCCAAAGUGCUGGAAUUACAGGGAUGAGCCACUGCACACAGCCUAUUUGUUUUUUAAGAGACGUGAUCUCGGGACCAGGCAUGAUGGCCCUUGCUUAAUCCCAGCACUUUGGGAGGCCAAGGCAGGCGGAUCACAUGAGUCCAGGAGUUAGAGACCAGCCUGGGCAAUGUGGCAAAACCCCAUCUCUACAAAAAUACAAAAAUUAGCCAGGCGUGGUGGCACAUGCCUGUGGUCCCAGCUACUCAGGAGGCUGAGGUGGGAGGAUCGCCUGAACCAGGGAGGUGGAGGUUGCAGUGAACCAAGAUCGCACCACUGCACUCAGCCUGGACCACAGAGCGAGACACUGUCUCAAAAAAAAAAAAAGGAUCUCACUCUCACCGAGUCACAUUUCAAGUAGUCAAUAGCCACAAGUACCAGGCACGGUGGCUCACGCCUGUAAUCCCAGCACUUUGGGAGGCCGAGGCGGGCAGAUCACGAGGUCAGGGGAUCGAGACCAUCCUGGCUAACAUGGUGAAACCCCGUCUCUACUAAAAAUACAAAAAAUUAGCCGGGCAUGGUGGCGGGCGCCUGUAGACCCAGCUGCUUGGGAGGCUGAGGCAGGAGAAUGGCGUGAACCUAGGAGGCGGAGCUUGCAGUGAGCCGAGAUCGCGCCACUGCACUCCAGCCUGGGCGACAGAGCAAGACUCCGUCUCAAAAAAAAAAAAAAGAAAAAAAUAAAUAGCCACAGGUGUCUAGUGGCUAUCACAAACAGAAAGCUCUAAUUAGUAAUUUAUUUCAAUGGCCUCCUAAGAGUUUGUUCUGCCUCUAGUCUCUACUCUCCAGGCCCACAGCUCCCAGGGUAAUCUUAUUAAAGCAUUCUCCUGUUUAUAAUCUCGCCUAUGUUAAAAAGGUUAUGGUGGCUUCUUUGCCUACAGAAUGAAGUUCAAACAACUUGACAUCCAAGGAGCUCCACCAUUUGGUAUCUUCCCACUUUUUCUUUUUCUUUUUUUUUUUUUUUUUUUUGAGAUGGAGUCUCACUCUGUCACCCAAGCUGGAGUGCGGUGGCACAAUCUCGGCUCACUGCAAGCUCCACCUCCCGGGUUCAUGCCAUUCUCCUGCCUCAGCCUCCGGAGUAGCUGGGACUACAGGCGCCUGCCACCACACUGGGCUAAUUUUUUGUAUUUUUUUAGUAGAGACGGGGUUUCACCGUGUUAGCCAGGAUGGUCUCGAUCUCCUGACCUCAUGAUCCGCCCGCCUCAGCCUCCCAAAGUGCUGGGAUUACAGGCGUGAGCCACCGCGCCCAGCAUCUUCCCACUUUUUCUCAUUGCUUUAUUAUGCUUGCAUAACUGUUCUAACAAAACAAAUCUCACAAUUCUCUAGAUAAGCCUUAUUCUUACCCAGCUUUGGCUCAUCCUUCAUCUCUACAUCUUUUUUUUUUUUUUCUUUUGAAACGGAGUUUUGCUCUUGUUGCCCAGGCUGGAAUGCAAUGGUGCUAUCUCAGCUCACCGCAACCUCUGCCUCCUGGGUUCAAGCGAUUCUCCUGCCUCAGCCUCCCAAGUAGCUGGGAUUACAGGGAUGCACCACCACACCCAGCUAAUUUUUGUAUUUUUAGUAGAGAUGGGGUUUCUCCACGUUGGUCAGGCUGGUCUUGAACUCCCGACCACAGGUGAUCUGCCUGCCUCAGCCUCCCAAAGGGCAUCUCUACAUCUCUACAUAAAAUUCCUUCCCGCCACAUUUCUGCUUAUCAAAAUCCAAUCCAACUUCUAUGGCAUGGCCCAAAUGAUACCUCCUCCUUAAUGUCUUCAUUGAUUACCACAGUUCACUGUAAACCUGAUCUUUUUUUUUUUUUUUUUUUUUUUUUGGAGACAGAGUCUGUCUCUCCAUCGCCCAGGCUGGAGUGCACUGGCGCAAUCUCAGCUCACUCCAUCCUCCAUCUCCUGGGUUCAAGUGAUUCUCCUGCCUCAGCCUCCCAAGUAGCUGGGACUACAGGUGCAUGCCACCACACCCGGCUAAUUUUUGUAUUUUUUAGUAGAAACAGGGUUUCACCAGUCUGGUCUUGAACUCCUAACCUCAGGUGAUCCACCCACCUCAGCCUCCCACAGUGCUGGGAUUACAGGCAUGAGCCUCUGCACCCGGCCAACCCUGAUUUUUUUUUUUUUUUUGAGACAUAGUCUUGCUCUGUUGCCCAGGCUGGAGUGCAGUGGCACGAUCUCGGCUCACUGCAAGCCCCGCCACCCAGGUUCACGCCAUUCUCCUGCCUCAGCCUCCCGAGUAGCUGGGACUACAGGCGCCUGCCACCACGCCCGGCUAACUUUUUUUUGUAUAUUUAGUAGAGACGGGGUUUCACUGUGUUAGCCAGGAUGGUCUUGAUCUCCUGACCUCGUGAUCCGCCCGCCUCGGCCUCCCAAAGUGCUGGGAUUACAGGCGUGAGCCACCAUGCCUGGCCCUUUUUUUUUUUUUUUUGAGACAGGGUCUGGCUCAGUCACCCAAGGUGGAGUGCAGUGACGCAAUCAUGGCUCACUACAACCUCCACCUCCCCGGCUCAAGCAGUCCUCCCACCUCAGCCACUCAAGUAGCUGGGACUGCAGGUCCACACCACUAUACCUGGCUAAUUUUGUAUUUUUUGAAGAGGCAGGGUUUUACAACGUUGCCCAAGCUGGUCUGAAACUCCUGAGCUCAAGUGAUCCGCCCCCCUCAGCCUCCUAAAGUGCUGGGAUUAUGGUGUGAGCCACCUUGCCCAGCCUUAUGUCACUCUCAGUGGCAUUUCUCGUACUUCCUGGUCCUAAGAUUCUUGGUGUACACGUUGUAUAAUCCCAACUAGAUAUGAGAGCUAUCAGAUUAAGACUUUGCAUCUUUACAUCCCCCAGUACCUUUCAGAGUGUGAGUGCACACACACCAUUUGCUAAGGAAUGAUUGCAGUGACAAUACCAAGUUUAGGAUCCCUUAAAAUACCUAUAUCUUGGGCAGAGGUUGCAUUGAGCUGAGAUCAUGCCGCUACACUCAGCCUGGGUGACAGAGCGAGACUCCAUCUUCAAAAAAAAAAACAGUCCGGGUGUGGUGGCUCACGUCUGUAAUCCCAGCACAUUGGUAGGCCAAGGUGGGUGGAUCACAAGGUCAGGAGUUCAAGACCAGCCUGGCCAACUUGGUGAAACCCUGUCUCUACUAAAAAUACGAAAAAAAAUUAGCCGGGCAUGGCGGCGGGGCACCUGUAAUCCCAGCUACUCAGGAGGCUGAGGCAGAGAAUUGCUUGAACCUGGGAGACGGAGGUUGCAGUGAGCCGAGAUCACGCUACUGCACUCCAGCCUGGGCGAUAGAGCGAGAUUCUGUCUCAAAAAAAAAACUACAUCUUCAUAGUGGACAUAUUUGACAUCUACCCAACUUACAACCAUUCCUCCUAUAGAUCAUAGAUUAGGCCCCAACAGCCAUGUUUGUACCUCCUAAACCCCACCACCUUGGAAUAGAGACUUACUUCUCAAAGUGUGAUGCCACAUUCCUCGUGGGGUCAAAGAAGCAGAAAAAAUUGGUUUGCGGCCGGGCGCAGUGGCUCACCUGGAACCAAGAGUCUUAAUUAAACAAUCAUGAUGGAGACCAAGCCCACAUUUUUCAGGUCACCUAAUCCUGGCCUCUCCAUGAUCCAGUAACCUGAGUUACAGCUUUCCUACCAUAAGGACUUAGAGCUAAUUUCUUAAAGCCUGUAGUGGAGGCUGAGGCGAGAGGAUUGAUUGACACAAGGAGUUUGAGUCCAGCCUAGGCAACAUACCAAGACCCAGUCUCUUAAGUAAAUUUUUUAAAAAAUCAAUUUAGUUUCCAAAUGAGAUCAACAUAUUAACAUAUUAUAUUUGAUUGCUUUGCCUUUUUUUUUUUUUUUUGAGGUGGAGUUUCACUCUUGUUGCUCAGGCCGAAGUACAAUGGCACAAUCUCAGCUCACCACAACUUCCGCCUCCCAGGUUCAAGCGAUUCUUCUGCCUCAGCCUCCUGAGUAGCUGAGAUUACAGGCAUGCACCACCACACCUGGCUAAUUUUGUAUUUUUAUUACAGAUGGGUUUCUCCAUGUUGGCCAGGCUGAUCUCGAACUCCCGACCUCAGGUGAUCCGCCUGCCUCAGCCUCCCAAAGUGCUGGGAUUACAGGCAUGAGCCACCGCACCUGGCCCAGGUUUGAUUUCUUUAAAAGAAUUCUUCACAGGUGCUAUUUACCUUUUUAAACAUUAUUUUUCUAUUUUUGUUUUGUUUUUGAGACGGGGUCUCACCCUGUCACCCAAGCAAGAGUGCAGUGGUGCAGUCACAGCUUACUGCAGCCUCAAACCCCUGGGUUCAAGCAAUUCUCCCACUUCAGCCUCCCAAGUACCUGGAGGUACAGGUGUGCACCACCACGCCCAGCUAAUUUUUUUUUUUUUUUUUUUUUUAGAGACAAGGGUCUCACUAUGUUGCCCAGGCUGGUCUCAAACUCCUGGCCUCAAGCGAUCCUCCCACCUUGGCCUCCCAAAGUGGUUCCCACUUAUAAGUGAAAACAUUACAGGUGUGAGCCACCAUGUCUCACUAUUUACUUUUUAUUCAUCUCAUCAAGAGAAGAGAAAUUCAUAACAUUAACUACUUACGUUAGGGGCUACAGCCCCUACCGUAAUUUUCUAAUCAGGUAGUUUCUUCUAUGCUUGGUUAACUGGAAUUUGUGUGUGUGUGUGUGUGUGUGUGUGUGUGUGUGUGUGUGACAGAGUCUCACUCUGUCACCCAGGCUGGAGUGCAGUGACACGACCUCAGCUCACCGCAACUUCCUCCUCCCAGGUUCAAGCGAUUCUCCUGCCCCGGCUUCCCGAGUAGCUGGGAUUACGGCUGUGCACCACGACACCCAGCUACUUUUCUUUUGUAUUUUUAGUAGAGAUGGGGUUUCAACAUGUUGGCCAGUCUAGUCUCGAAAUCCUGACCUCAAGUGAUCCACCUGCCUGGCCUCCCAAAGUGCUGGGAUUAUAGGUGUGAGCCACCGCACCCAGCCUAACUGGAAUAUUUCUAUAAAGAAUCUUCCCUCAUCAACUCUUUGUUAUCCUGAAGUACCUCAACCUCAGCCUCCAGAGGAGCUGGAACUACUCAAAUAGAAAAGGCAGGAUCAAUUCUUUCCCUUUACUGACCAGUUUUCAGAAUGAGUUGGUUUCCUGGGGCAUCCUCUAGAGGUCAACAAUGAAUUCUUUUUAGUAUUAUCAUGAACUGGUGGCUUUUUUUUUUUUUUUUUGAGACGGUCUCACUCUGUUGCCCAGGCUGGAGUGCAGUGGUGCGAUCUCGGCUCACUGCAACCUCCGCCUUCUGGGUUCAAGCGAUUCUCCUGCCUCAGCCUCCUGAGUAACUGGGACUACAGGCAAGUGCCACCACGCCCAGCUAAUUUUUUCUAUUUUAGCAGAGAGGAGGUUUCACCAUGUUGCCCAGGGUGGUCUCGAACUCCUGAGCUCAUAGAAUCCACCCACUUUGGCUUCUCAAAGUGCUGGGAUUACAGGCGUGCGCCACCAUGCCUGGUGUUUUUUUUUUUUUUUUUUUUUUUUUUGAGACGGAGUCUCACACUGUUGCCGGGGCUGGUGUGCACUGGCGUGAUCUCGGCUCGCCACAACCUCCACCUCCCGGGUUCAAGCGAUUCUCCUUCCUCAGCCCCCUGAGUAGCUGGGACUACAGGCGCGUGCCACCACGUCUAGCUUAUUUUUGUUUUGUUUUGUUUUGUUUUUUUGAGGCAGAGUCUCUGUCGCCCAGGCUGGAGUGCAGUGACGCUAUGUCGGCUCACUGCAAGCUCCGCCUCCCAGGUUCACGCCAUUCUCCUGCCUCAGCCUCCCGAGUAGCUGGGACUACAGGCUACCUGCCACUAUGCCUGGCUAAUUUUUUUUUUUUUUUUUUUUUUUUUUUUAGUAGAGUCGGGGUUUCACCGUGUUAGCCAGGAUGGUCUCAAUCUCCUGACCUGGUGAUCCGCCCACCUCAGCCUCCUAAAGUGCUGGGAUUACAGGCAUGAGCCACCGCACCCGGACUGUAUUUUUUUUUUUAGUAGAGACGGGGUUUCACUAUGUUGGCCAGGCUGGUCUCAAACUCCUGACCUCGUGAUCCACCUGCCUUGGCCUCCCAAAGCACUGGGAUUACAGGCGUGAGCCACCGCGCCUGGCCAACUCAUGGAUUUUAAAAGCCUAUUUGAUGAGUUUCAGUCCACUGGAGUCAGGUCUUUUUUUUUUUUUUUUUGGAAGUGCUGUGAUCGUGACUCACUGCAACCUCUGCCUCCCAGGUUCAAGCGAUUCUCCUGCCUCAGCCUCCCGAGUAGCUGGGACUACAGGCGCGUACCACCAUGGCCAGCUAAUUUUUUUGUAUUUUUAGUAGAGACGGGGUUUCCCCAUGUUGGCCAGGAUGGUGUCGAUCUCCUGACAUAAUCCACCUGCCCCGGCCUCCCAAAGUGCUGGGAUUACAGGCAUGAGCCACCACCCAGCCCAAAGAUUCUAUAUUAUAUAUACAGUUUUCCACUUUUUUUUUCCUCUUAGCAAAACAUCAUGGAGUUCACUCCAUAGCAGUAUAGAGAUACUCAUUUCUAUUCACAGCUGCAUAGCACUCCAAUGUAGAUAUACCUUGGUUUAUUGCCAAUGUUCUGUAGAUGGACAUUGUCUGAGUUAUUUCCAGUCUUUUGCUAUUUACACAGUGGGCUAUAAUGACUAGCCUUGGACAUAUAUCUUUAUUUUUGCCAAUGUUAUCUUUGGCUUAGACUACUAGAAAUGGAAUUGCUGGGUCAAAAAACACAUGCAUAUGUCAUUUUGUAGGACAGAAUCAAAUUCCCCUCCUGAAGAGGCAGCUGCUAUAAUGGUGCUUCCAGUGGUUCCUACUUCUGGGUAAAUUGCCCCUUGACUGCAAUUUACAGAAGUGAUGGGAGUGGAUGCAGAGGCUCCUGCCUGUAAUCCUAGCACUUUGGGAGGCUGAGCCAGGAGGAUCACUUGAGCCCAGCAGUCUGAGACUAACAUAGGCAACACAGUGAGACCGCAUCUCUACUAAAAAUCAUGAAAGUUAGCCAGGCAUGGUAGCGUGUGCCUCUGGUCCCAGCAACUCAGGAGGCUGAGGUGGGAGGAUUGCUUGAGCCCAGGAGUUUGAGGCUGCAGUGAGACAUUCUACUCCACUCUACUCCAACCUGGGCGAUAGAGCAUGCCCUUGUCUUAAAAAAAAAAAAAAAAAAAAAAAACUGCUGGGAUGUCACUUUCAAGAUUAAGUACCAAAGGACUGUGACUUCUGUUUUGCUCUCAUACAUUCUCUGUCUGAGAGCUGGGAGCUUGUCUUUAAGUAGAAACCCACCCAUCCCCAGGGAGAAGGCAGGAGGGAAAAGGAGGAGAGGUCACAGACAAGCCCCCUGACUCUGUUGAUCUUCACUGCAGUAGCUUCUCAUUACAAGCAGGCAUCUGGCCAUUGUAGACCAUUAUAACUGUAGUUCUAGAAGUAAUAAUAGCAGAUUUAUUGUACAGAAGUGUCCACGGGCUCACAAUUCUAAGGACAUCAUCAUGACAGCAAGUAGGAAAAAAAAUUAAAGUAAUUCUUUCACCAAUUACCAGUUUAUCUCUUCUCCAAUUCCUUUGGAUACGCCUCCUGCAAGAAGCCGAUUUCCAGCUGUAUGUGAUAAUGAAAGGGUUUUUCUUUCUUAUGUUAAAUACAAGCGAAGUGAUUAACUGGAAGAUAGCGUCUGAUUGCGAGGAAAUCAGUGAUUCAGAUGGUGUGGGAAUGGCACCUGGGGAUGGGGGAGGCAGGACGGAGAUGGAGGAAGCUGGUGCAGCCUAGCCUGCCUUGUGCCAAGGACACCCAAGGGCAGAGGGACUGAGCUCUGGGGGAGGACAGAUUUGACAUAACUGGUCCAGCCUCACAGUUUACAGGUCCUGGAGGGUGAGGAAAGUGGGAGCUGGCUGCGGAUGCAGGACAAGAACCCAGGGCUUCCCUUCAUUUUGCCUGCCCUGCCACUUCCUCCCGCCACUUCCACCCUUCCUACCCCUCCACCUCCCUUGUGCCUUUCACUGCCUUUUACAGCAUUUACAUUACACUUCAGUAAAAAGUUGUGGUUUUGGCUGGUUUUUUUUUUUUUUAAAUAAAAACAGCACUGAAGAAGUAGAAGGAAGAUAUUCAGGGUUUUUAUUUUUAUUUUUUGAGUCUGGGUCUCGCUCUGUCACCCAGGCUGGAGUACAGUGGUGAGAUCAUAGCUUACUGUAGCCUCGACCUCCCGGGCUCAAAGAUCCUCACACCUCAGCCUUCCAAGUAGUUGGGACUACAGGCAUAUAUCAUCAUGCCUGGCUAAAUUAACUAUUUUAUUUUAAGAGAUGUGGUCUAGCUAUGUUACCCAGGCUGGUCUCGAACUCCUGGCUUCUAGCAAUCCUCCCACCUCAGUCUCCUGAAUCACUGGGAUUACAGGCUGGGGCCAUCAUGCCCAGCUCUAGGUUUUUAAAAUGUAGGCAAGGAGGUCAGCAUUUACACAAAAGCAGGGUUUGAUCUUAGGAAGCUUAAUAAAGAGAGGGGUCUAAUCAAGGUUUCCUGUAGGAUCUGGGCUUUAAGUUAGGCCUUAAAGAACGAAGAAUGUUUGUGGGUGUAGUAAGCAAUGACUUGGAGCAGAGCCCUCUAGCCAUUGGGCUCACCCUCACAGGCAGGCGCCACUGACCCUAGGGGGGUGUAGGCAGCUGGAGGAAGUACUGUGUGUCCCCCAUUCCAGCGAUGGUGGCCCCUCUCAGAGUCAAUACCCUUCCUUCCAAGAGACUGAACAUACAACUGGACAAUGGCCAGGCCACAUAUGACAAUAGACUCUGGCCAGAAACCCAUGACCAGCCUGGGAAGCCAAGGAAGCCAAACCACAGCCUCAGCAGCAAUCGGACCCAGAACAGUCUGAACUUAGUGGCUGCCAGCUUCUUCCCAAUCCCCAGCCACCACACCCCCUCUUCCAACUCCAGACCAACCAGAGAAAGCCAAAUAUACCCCCCCAACCAACCAAAGAUGCCCCUCCAGUUAGUCCGCUCUGUCCCCAUGCCAACAAUCUCCAAUCACAGCACACCCAGAGCCUUCCCUUUUUUUCCACUAUAACAUUUCACAGUCCCUGCCUGCCUUUGACCCCUGCCAAAUACAAGCAAUCAUGGCUGACUCCUUUGCAAACUUUGACCAAAUGGCCUCUCUGCUCUUGUUUAGGUGGUUUUUAUUUCCACAUCUCCAACAGGGAGUCUGGAAACAAACUGACAAUACUCGUGAAAUCAACACCCAGAUGAGGACUCUGACCUCUUUUGCUUGACCUCAUGUCUGUGAAAUUUAUCCAUGUUGCUGUGCAUAGCGAUAUUUUCAUUCAUAUUCGUUGCUGUGCAGUAGUAUUCGACCCUGUGACUUCACUGUAGCUUCAACUGUGGAUGGACAUUUGGGUUGGUGGAUGGACAUUUGGGUUGUUUCAGGUUUGGGGCUACAGUCAGCGUGUGGUUAGAAACAUUCUUGCCAAUGUCUCGGUGGACAUAGCUUUCUGUGGUGUACAUACCCAGGAGUGGAACUGCUGGAUCAGUUUAUACGUAUGUUCGGCUUUUGGUAGAUACUGCCAGUUUUCCAACAGGGUCACACCAGCUUGGUCCAUUCAGGUUACAAUGAAACACCUUAGCCUGGGUAAUUUGUAAACAACAAAAAAUUAUUUCUCACAGUUCUAGAGGCUGGGAAGUCCAAGAUCAAGGUGCCAGCAGAUCCAGUGUCCAGGGCGGGCUCUCUGCUUCAGAGAUACGGUGCCUUCUCACUGCAUCCACACAUGGUAGAAGGGACAGAAGGGCUCCCUCAAGCCUGUUUUAUAAGGUGCUAACCCCAUUCAUGAUCUCCACCCUCAUGACCUAACCACCUCCCACAGGCCCCACAUCUUUAUUAUUUUUUUGAGAUGGAGUCUCGCUCUGUCACCCAGGCUGGAGUGCAGUGGCACGAUCUCGGCUCACUGAAAUCUCCACCUACUGGGUUCAAGCUAUUCUCCUGUCUCAGCCUCCCGAGUGGCUGAAAUUACAGAUGUACGCCAUCACACCUGGCUAAUUUUUGUAUUUUUAGUACAGAUGGGGUUUCACCAUGUUGGCCAGGCUGAUCUCAGACUCCUGGCUUCAAGUGAUCUGCCCCCUGCCAGCAUCCCAAAGUGCUGGGAUUACAGUCAUGAGCCACCAUACCCAGCCCCAAAGGCCCCACCUCUUAAUGCCAUUGCUUUGGGGGUUAGGAUUCAACAUAUGAAUUCAAAGGGUACACCUACAUUCACAACACAGCACUGACUUAGAUUCCCUGCAAAACCCAUGAGAGUUUCAUUUCCUCCAUAUUUUCAUCAGCAUUUCAUCUUGUCAGAUUUACUCUCUAUAGGUUCUAAGUAUUAUUCCCCCUCUGCUGAUUUACUUAUUAUAAACAGUACAUAACUGAUCAGAUAAACACUUGUCCCUUUGCCACCCCUAAUGCCUGCCCCCACUUCAUAUUCCAGGAACACUCCAUUAAACCACCCCCUACUGUACUGGUGGGUGGUGGGAGGGGGCUCAUCGGGUGGGGUCUUUGCCGUAUUAUUCUGUGUCACUGAGGCCUAUCACAGUGCUCUGCACAUGUAGGUGCAAAUAUCUGUUGUAUGAUUACAUAAAAGAAUGAUGUGAAAGCCUAUUUGUCUGUACCACAAUCAUGAACGUCCCCAACCACUUGAAGGCACUCAUAGUGUCUUAAUCAUCUUAGGCCUUCGAUCUGGCAUAGGUAACUCCUUUAAUAAACAAUGUCUGCUAAACCAAAUGGCUUCCUGAGGCCUGGCAUUUUAGGCUGUGUCCCCUGCCCCACCUCGCCCAGCCUGGGGCAUUGAGCCUGGCUGGGCACACACGUGAUAGUUGUAAUCAUAUUGUCAUAACAUCCCUGAGACUACAUUAAUUACAUAUUGAGUGUUAUAGUACUAUUAUAGCAGGUGGCAGAUGUUGGCACACUGGGCAGAGAUGUGUUGGUGUGAAAAACCUCUAUGUACUUUAAAGACAGGGUCUCCCUCUGUUGCCUAGGCUGAAGUGCAGUGGUGCCAUCAUAGCUCACUGUAACUUCAAACUCCUGUGCUCAAGUGAUCCUCCCACCUCAGCCUCCUGAGUAGCUGGAACUUGAGGCACAUACCACCACACCCAGCUAAUUUUUAAAUUUUUUGUAGAGAUAGGGUCUAGCUGUUACCUACACUGGUUUUGAACUCCUGGCCUCAAGCAGUCCUUCUGCCUUGGUCUCCCAAAGUGCUGGGAUUAUAGGUAUGAUCCACCACCUCCAGCCAAAAUCUCACUUUAAGUGGGGUCCCUAACUCCAGACAUGUGAUAAGCUGUGGUUCACAGGCAUAAAGAACAUCCAGCCUGGGGCCCCGGGGUCAGAGUUUUCCCUCGCAUUGUCCCCUGGGUCCUUCAUCCCUCCUAAUCUUGCAAACCAGCUGUCAAUUGGGUUGAGAUGGUAUCUCUUUCAUAGGGUCAUUAUGAGGAUUAAAUGACUUAAUAUAUGUAAAGCACUUAGCUUAAUGCCUGGCAGACAGUAAGGUAUGGAGUAAGUUGUAACCCUUAUUAUUAUUGCUGUUGCUGUUAGCAACAGAGUGAGGAAUGCUAGGAGUGACCAUGCCCAGCACCGAAUGAGGCCUUCAUAGCCUUGGGCUAAAAGAAAAAGAGCAGAAAGGUGAACACAGGGGAAGGCCUCAAUUUCAACACAGAUGCAUUAGACCAAGGACUCUGAACUCACUUUCCCUGGAGGUGGGGGUGCUAUCAGCUGCUUAAUGGAGCAUCAUGGAAAAUGUGGGACUCAAGGCCUGAAGGACUCCAUUCCUAAGAGAUGGGAGCAGGAGACAUGCUACGGAGUUUGAAUCUUGCCUAGCACAGGGAUUUCUGCCUGCUGGAAGGGCUCUGUCAGGGCCUAGUGGAAGCCCCUGCCUCAGUGGGGCAAACUGCCACUGGACACACCCAUCAUUCAUCAUCACCUCUCUGGGACAGUAGUAGCAGCCAGGCACCUCCAAAGAGCUUGACAACAGAGGAACCCGCUUCGGCCCCUCCUCUGAAGACAGGAUCCUGCGCUACUCCAACUCUGAACUGGUUCAAGGUGAGAGACGUCAUCCACAGAGGCCACAAAACCAAGAGGUGGAUGCCUCAUUGUUACUUCAUGCUGUCUGGGAGCAAAGAGAGGGCCUUAGGCACAAAAUCCUCCAGACCCGCAUCUGCCCCUUGGCUUUCUCAACCCUUCACUCUCCAACUUCUAUAAAUAACCUGUACAGUGGCCAGGCACCGUGGUUCACACCUGUAAUCCCAGCAUUUUGGGAGGCCAAGGCGGGCGGAUCACUUGAGGUCAGGAGUUCGAGACCAGCCUGGCCAACAUGGUGAAACCCCAUCUCUAACAAAAAUACGAAAAUUAGCCAGGUGUGGUGGCGGGCAUCUGUAAUCCCAGCUACUUGAGAGGCUGAAGCAGGAGAAUCACUUGAACCUGGGAGGCGGAGGUUGCAGUGAGCCGAAGUUGCACCACUGCACUCCAGCCUGGGCAACAGAGCAACACUCUGUCUCAAAAGAAAAGAACCUCUGCAGAAUGAGGGGAAGCAGGGAAGCAGGCAGGGGUGAACAAGAUGGCCAUGAAUUGAUAAUUACUGAAGUUGGGUGAUGGGCUCAUGGGGAUUUGUUAUUCUACUCUCUCUACUUUUUUGUGUUUGAAAGUUCAUAAUAAAUAAUGUUGCUCAAAGGAAGCUAUUAAUAGUUUGAGGCCAGGCAGGGUAAAGAGCAUCUCCUAGAUUUUUUUUUUUUUUUUUUUUUUUUUUUUUUUUUUUUUUUUUUAGAGAUAGGGUCUUGCUUUGUUGCCCAGGCUUGUCUCAAACUCCUGGCUUCAAGGGAUCCUCCCACCUCGGCUUCCCAAAAUGCUGGGAUUACAGGCACAAGCCACCACAUCCAACCUCCCUCAUAUUUGACUAAGAAGUCUCAUAAAUCUGAGAACACCUAGCAAGGAAUUAAGGCGAGGGUGUGGCACUGUUCUGGCUUCAGUCUAUCACCAGGCAGAGUCCACGCAUUCUUCCCAGGGAGAAAGAAGCAGUGACAGCUCUUGGGCUUUGAGGGAAAUGAUUCAGCGGGAGAAAGAAGGUGGAGAGGGGCUAAUAUGCAGAUACCAUUGCUGCAGGUGGCUCUGCCCCUAAGCACUGAGGAGGGCACUGGUCCCUCUGGCCCCACCCAGCCUUCACCCCAAGGUGAAGUACGCUUUCUCAGGUCCCCAAGGAUGGGUGGCCAGGUCCCCCACUGGGAGUGGAGGUCUCACUCCCUUCCUUGGGUUCUGACCUCCACAUUAUCUGGCUGUGAGGGUGACCUGCCUGGCUUUCCCCACCAAGUGCAGCUCCCCGCAGCUGAAAGCCACACUCUCAACACAGGACUCCUGAGAUCUGACACUGGCCAAUUCACACCCUGCUUGAAGCUGGCAUUUGAGAGGCCUUCAGGUUGACAACAGCAGCAACAAGUUUGCUGUUCAAAGUAGGCCAAGUCACGGCUUUGAGCGGCAUCAUUUGAAAAGUGCUGGGAUCAGCCAGGCGCAGUGGCUCACUCCUGUAUCCCAGCACUUUGGGAAGCCAACGCAGGUGGAGCACUUGAGGUCAGGAGUUCAAGAACAGCCUGGCCAACAUGGAGAAACCCCGUCUCUACUAAAAAUACGAAAAUUAGUCGGGUGUGGUGGCAGGCCUCUGUAAUCCCAGCUACUCGGGAGGCUGAGGCAGGAGAAUUGCUUGAACCCGGGAGGCGGAGGUUGCAGUGAGCUGAGAUCAUGCCACUACACUCCAGCCUGGGCAACGGAGUAAGACUGUCUCAAAAAAAGAAAAAGGAAAAAAAAAAGUGGUGGGGUUUGGGUGCAGUGUCUCACAUCUGUAAUCCCAGCACUUUGGGAGGCUAAGGCAAGAUCUCAUGAGGCCAACCUGGGCAACAUAACAGCAUGACCUCAUCUCUAUAAAAAAUUUAAUUUGGCUGGGCGCGGUGGCUCACGCCUGUAAUCCCAGCACUUUGGGAGGCCGAGGCGGGCGGAUCACAAGGUCAGGAGAUCGAGACCAUCCUGGCUAACACAGUGAAACCCCGUCUCUACUAAAAGUGCAAAAAAAUUAGCCAGGCGUGGUGGCAGGCGCCUGUAGUCCCAGCUACUCUGGAGGCUGAGGCGGGAGAAUGGCCUGAACCCAGGAGGUGGAGGUCGCAGUGAGCUGAGAUCGCGCCACUGCACUCCAGCCUGGGUGACAGAGCAAGACUCCAUCUCAAAAAAAAAAAAGAAAAAAAAAUUUAAUUAGCCAGGCAUGGUGACAGGUACCUGAAGUCCUAGUUACUCAGAAGGCUGAGGCAGGAGGAUCGCUUAAGCCCGGGAGUUUAAGGAUACAGUGAGUUAUGAUUGCACCACUUCGCUCCAGGCUGGGUGAUUCUCUAAAAAAAAGAAAAAAGAAAAAGAUGGGAGGAUGGGAGGCGGGGCUAGGGGACUGGGAAGGUCCCUCAACCCUUUCUACAUGCCUUACCCAGGGUAUCUCCCAUCAUGGCUGGUUACUGUGCUAAAAUUAUAAUUUUUUUUCUUUGAGACAGAGUAUCACUCGGUCACCCAGGCUGGAGUGCAGUGGUGCGAUCUCAGCUCACUACAACCUCCGCCUCCUGGCGGGCUCAAGUGACUUAUCUUCCCACCUCAGCCUCCCAUGUAGCUGGGACUAUAGAUGGGCGCCGCCAUGCCCAGUUACUUUUUGUAUUUUUUACCUAGGCUGGUAGUGUGCUAACAUUCUACCACUUGGGCAACAGUCUUCGGGGCUACAUACUGCCUUUUUUUUUUUUUUUGAAACAGAAUACCACUCUGUCGCCCAGGCUGGAGCGCAGUGGCACAAUCUCGGCUCACUGCAACCUCCGCAUCC